GUGCCAGCAGCCGCGGUAAUACCGGCAGCCCGAGUGAUGGCCGAUAUUAUUGGGCCUAAAGCGUUCGUAGCCGGCCGGACAAGUCCGUUGGGAAAUCUGCGCGCUUAACGCGCAGGCGGCCAGCGGAAACUGUCCGGCUUGGGGCCGGAAGACUCGAGGGGUACGUCCGGGGUAGGAGUGAAAUCCCAUAAUCCCGCACGGACCACCGAUGGCGAAAGCACUUCGAGAAAACGGAUCCGACAGUGAGGGACGAAAGCCAGGGUCUCCAACCGGAUUAGAUACCCGGGUAGUCC
rnacentral:rRNA from 1 species